rnacentral:misc_RNA from 1 species
GAUGAAGAACGAAGCGAAAUGCGAUAAGUAAUGUGAAUUGCAGAAUUCAGUGAAUCAUCGAAUCUUUGAACGCACAUUGCGCCCAUUAGUAUUCUAGUGGGCAUGCCUGUUCGAGCGUCAUUUCAACCCUUAAGCCUAGCUUAGUAUUGGGAAUCGACUUUACUGUCGUUCCUCAAAUUCAACGGCGGAUUUAUAGCAAUCUCUGAACGUAGUAAUUUUUUUCCUCGUUUUUGAAAUACUAUAAACCUCAGCCGCUAAACCCCCAAUUUUUCUAUGGUUGACCUCGGAUCAGGUAGGAAUACCCGCUGAACUUAAGCAUAUCAAUAAGCGGAGGA